rnacentral:sRNA from 1 species
ACACGGACUACGGACUACUUCCUGCGUUACUCCGUAGCCAAGCCAAUAAUCUCUGGUCUCUCCGUCCGUACGACGCCUUCUCUCAAAAUGCCAAGUGCCAAGAAAAAUGAAGAAAAAACACCGCCCGCCAAGACCCCGGAAUCGGUGGAGAUCGGCAGAUCUCCGCCCAGGAUUUGUCCCCCGUUGAAGCAAACAAACAACCCAAAGCACCAAAGCCGCAUGAUUGACUGACGACGAACAAUGGAGGCUCGGCUUGGGGCGUUACGUUAGGGUGGUUUGAAACAGAAUAACAGCGCAUUAAACAGAAAAAAAGAAA